GGUGUUGUAGCCAAAAGGUUCAGGCGCAGCUCUGCAAAAGCUGUUAUAUCGGUUCGAAUCCGAUCAACACCU
rnacentral:tRNA from 1 species